rnacentral:piRNA from 1 species
UAGUGCAGGCAUUCGAAAAUC